rnacentral:rRNA from 1 species
CGACCGGCGCACGGGUGCGUAACGCGUAUGCAACCUACCUUUAACAGGGGGAGUAACACUGAGAAAUUGGUACUAAUACCCCAUAAUAUCAUAGAAGGCAUCUUUUAUGGUUGAAAAUUCCGAUGGUUAGAGAUGGGCAUGCGUUGUAUUAGCUAGUUGGUGGGGUAACGGCUCACCAAGGCGACGAUACAUAGGGGGACUGAGAGGUUAACCCCCCACACUGGUACUGAGGCACGGACCAG